rnacentral:rRNA from 1 species
CCUACGGGGGGCAGCAGUGGGGAAUAUUGGACAAUGGGGGCAACCCUGAUCCAGCCAUGCCGCGUGUGUGAAGAAGGCCCUCGGGUUGUAAAGCACUUUCAGUGAGGAAGAACGCCUGGUGGUUAAUACCCAUCAGGAAAGACAUCACUCACAGAAGAAGCACCGGCUAACUCCGUGCCAGCAGCCGCGGUAAUACGGAGGGUGCGAGCGUUAAUCGGAAUUACUGGGCGUAAAGCGCGCGUAGGUGGCUUGAUAAGCCGGUUGUGAAAGCCCCGGGCUCAACCUGGGAACGGCAUCCGGAACUGUCAAGCUAGAUUGCAGAAGAGGAAUGUAGAAUUCCCGCUGUAGCGAUCAAAUACUUAGAGAUCGAGAGGAAUACCAGUUGCGAAGGCCGCCUUCUGCACUUACACUGACACUGAAGUGCUAAAUCGUGGCUAUCAAACAGCAUUAGAUACCCGGGUAGUC